AAGUCCUGGCUAAAAGAGAGUCUCUUCCAGUUCCUAAAGGGGGCUUGCAAGAAAGCUGGAGAGGGACUUUUUACAGGGCUACAUAGGGAUAGGACAAAGAGGAAUGGUUUUAAACUGAAAGAGGUUAGAUUUAGAUUAGAUAUUAGGAAAAAAUUCUUUACUAUGAGGGUGGUGAG